rfam:Anabaena sp. 90 chromosome chANA01, complete sequence.
GUCAGUAACUCAACCCUAAAGGGAUUGAGCUUGUAAGAGAAAUCAAACAAGCUGUACUGACCAGACCACCCUGAGCGACUUGCCCUGAGCGAUGUCGAAGGGUAGUCGAAGGGUAGCCGUUAUUUGAGUCACGACACCUCGGAAUGCGUUCGCGCCAGCGUGCCGUCAGGCAUAGCUAGUUCCCCGCUCUGUCGCUGUAAGUUAAACAGUUCUAAAGUCACUGGAACAGUGCUUUCAGCCUAACAAGCUCUUAUAACAGGUCGAAGCUAACAUCAC